CUUUCUAUUUAGACAAGGACUCCCAUUGGAACGUGGAACUGUUCUUGUUUUUCUACCAGGUGAAUUUGAAAUUAAACUCCUGGAUCAGCUGUUGGAAGACAUGUGCUCUGAUCGCACGUUGUGGAUCCUUCCUUUACAUUCCAAAAUCACCUCUCUUGAACAAGGAGAUGUUUUCAAGAAGCCUCAGGAAGGAUUUAGAAAGGU